GGACCCGCACAAGUAGUGGAGCAUGUGGUUUAAUUCGAUGCAACGCGAAGAACCUUACCAGCCCUUGACAUCCUCGGAACGACCUAGAGAUAGGUUGGUGCCUUCGGGAGCCGAGAGACAGGUGUUGCAUGGCUGUCGUCAGCUCGUGUCGUGAGAUGUUGGUUAAGUCCCGUAACGAGCGCAACCCUCGUCCCUAUUUGCCAGCACUUCGGGUGGGAACUCUAGGGAGACUGCCGGUGACAAACCGGAGGAAGGUGGGGACGACGUCAAAUCAUCACGGCCCUUACGUCCUGGCCACACACGUGCUACAAUGGUAGGUACAGAGGGAAGCCACCCCGCGAGGGGGAG
rnacentral:rRNA from 1 species